UCAGGAUGAACGCUGGCGGCGUGCUUAACACAUGCAAGUCGAACGGAGUUACAUGAAACCUAGUGAUUGUAAACUUAGUGGCGGACGGGUGAGUAACGCGUGGGUAACCUGCCUUAUACCGGGGGACAACAGUUAGAAAUGACUGCUAAUACCGCAUAAGCGCACGGUGUCGCAUGACACAGUGUGAAAAACUCCGGUGGUAUAAGAUGGACCCGCGUCUGAUUAGCCAGUUGGUGAGGUAACGGCCCACCAAAGCAACGAUCAGUAGCCGGCCUGAGAGGGUGAACGGCCACAUUGGGACUGAGACACGGCCCAAACUCCUACGGGAGGCAGCAGUGGGGAAUAUUGGACAAUGGGGGAAACCCUGAUCCGGCGACGCCCGCGUGAGUGAAGAAGUAUUUCGGUAUGUAGAGCUCUAUCAGCAAGGAAGAUAAUGACGGUACUUGACUAAGAAGCCCCGGCUAACUACGUGCCAGCAGCAGC
rnacentral:rRNA from 1 species